GAAAAGAUACCUCAUCCAGAAAAUCCCCCGUGUCUGACCCAGAAUUCAUCAGGACUCCAACAAAGACGACAACUGAAUGGGAAACGCCAACCUCCAGUCCACCAACCAGGGACACACAAACCUUCACUCCAUCACGAAUGACCACACCAAUCUCCAGUCCAUUCAAAAUGUUAGACUCCCUCAGCUCCUCAGCCAAGCGUAUGAUGCAACAAGCACAAGGUGUUGUAAAGAAAAUAUCUCCUGAGAGACCAGAUGACCUGCAAUGUAGAAGGAAACUUUUAGAGGGUGACGAGAACUGAGGGACUUACCAUACUGCCUCACACAUCUGUGUGGUUCGGUUUCUAUCCAUAGGCAUUGUGGGUACUGAAUAGUGGACUGAAUGGCUGACACACAUAGGCCYGCUGGUUGUUGUAUAUCUAAAUACAGUCUGUAUGUAAAUAUAUUUUAUAGUUGGUUAAUGAUGAAACAUGAUAAAUCCACACUAGACUUGUUUGUGGUUUUAUUCUUCACUUAUUUAUAAAUCAAGUGUGGUGAAAUUUAUAACCUACACAAUGUCAUAAUGUCGACAACUUCAUGGUGUGUGUGGUUUUUCUUUCUUCAGUCUUAUAAAUCAAAUGUUUUUUAUGAUACGCAAUGUUGUACUGUCCUUGGUUGUGUGUGUUUGUUUUCUACUUUAUCAAUACAAUUUUAAACAACUUGUAGUGUAUGUUGUGACAUCAGCUUGUUAUACAGUGUGUCAUAAAUCUGCUGCUGGGAAUGCUUAAAAAAUGAAUUGUCUUUGAUUCUUCUAACAUCAAGAGACCAACCGAAGUUACAAACAAGUGCCACUAGGGGUCGCAUAAAUAUAAUUUUAGGGAGAGAGGUCGUAGAGAAACGGGUUUGAUACUAGUGUUUGCAGCUGACUCUGUGUCUCAUGAAGAGGCAGAACACAUCACACCCUGGUCUGUUUACUUUAAAGACUUUUGAAACAUGGAUGUGAUAGUCAGUGUGCCAGAUUGUUUUACCCCUACACAGAGGACAUAAGUAAGUCUCACUAACUCCUUGGUCAUGUUAACUGACAUAGUAUCUCAUAGACCAAAACGUAUAAGAUAUCCUAAGCCUGUGUUAACCUCUGACCUUAUUUUCAGCGUUUAUCCCAAAACCUAUCUUUCUCCAUUAAUUUUUCCCAUAGAAAGGGCGUGAACGAACCAGAGGUAACUAAUUUUCCCCAUGGGAAGGUCUGAAUGAAUGAGAGGUAACUCAUUUCCCCAUUGGGAAGGUCUGAACGAAUCAGAGGUAACUCAUUUUCAGUUUUUAGGACUACAAGGCUGGAGAGCUCUAUAACCAGGAAAAACUCAAACACUUACCUUGACAGAAAUACUCAACGCAAAAGAUGUGUUCCUCCAUAAUGUGAAGACUGACAGGUGUAGUUCCCUUCAGCAAAGGCUGUAUGUUGGUGAUGUGUAGAAACAUUCUGCCACUCUCUAUCUGUAGUGUGACUCUGGGGUCACAAGUGCUGUCUGGACGUUUUGGGUCAGAUCAAUAUGACAAGACACUCAUCCCUCUUCACUCUAUUUAAAUAACAUAUCAUUUGAGUAAUGUAACUCAGUGUUUGGUUGUGGCAGAUUAGAGGAACUGCUGCUCCUCCUGUUCCCAACGUUUUCACUUGAGUCUGCAAACAGGAAGAGAAGCAGAUUCUGAGAGUAUUUUUUCAUAUGAUAGGUUUGAUUGAUCAUGAAGCUAAAGGUAGGAAAGUGAAAGGAACAGUUUAUUCUUAAUGACUAUUAAAACUGCAAUGAACAAUUACUGUGUAGGACUAACUCCUGUAAGUAGUGUAACAAGUACUGUAAUUACUCAUGUGUUACCUGUACUUAGGGUACAAAUAAAUUG
ensembl:lncRNA